UACAGAGGGUGCGAGCGUUGUCCGGAAUCACUGGGCGUAAAGGGUGCGUAGGCGGCGCGGUAAGUCGGGUGUGAAAUCUCGGAGCUUAACUCCGAAACUGCAUUCGAUACUGCCGUGCUUGAGGACUGGAGAGGAGACUGGAAUUUACGGUGUAGCGGUGAAAUGCGUAGAUAUCAGGAGGAAUACCGGUGGUGUAGACGGCUCUCUGGACCGCAACUGACGCUGAAACACGAAAGCGUGGGUAGCAAACAGG
rnacentral:rRNA from 1 species